AAUAUCAGAAUAUAUUGCAUGUUAUAAGCACUAUUUUGUAAAACAUUUGUUGGUGUUACGCCUAUGUGUCUGUAUGUCCUAGACUGUGAUAUAGAAUGUAUUUCCUACUGUGGGUCAUGGUCAAAGGGCUUAAAAGUUAUUGCUGUAUUGAAGAGUUACACCUGACACUGUUCUAAGCAGCCUACAUUAAUUUAUUUAAUCCUACAACCCUAUGAGAUUGGUACUCUUACAUAUGGGGAAACUGAGGCACAGAGAAGUUAAGUAGCUUGGCCAAGGUCACCCAGAAAAUAGGAGUUGGAAGCUUAAAGGUGAUACACUGCCUCUGGCAAGGAUCUGAUUUGACUCUAGUUUGCUCUCUUCGCUGCUAAACCCCAGGGACUAGCCAGCUAAUCCCGGCCACCAGAGGGCGAUGUGGGACUCAAAUCCGGGGCAAGCACAGCUGGCGGCAGGGUGAGCAGCAGUGGAGGUUCUCCACAGCAGCUGUAAGCAGAGGUGCCCGGAUGCUGGCAGUGCGGUUUUCGCAGCCUCCUCACAGAGGGCCAGCAGGCUGGGCACAGCCCGGGGACACCCGCGCCCUCAGGUUUGCAGGGCCUAUCAUAGGGGACAGGGCUGUGAGACACAUGCAUCUCAGUGACAGCGUGUCAAAGAUUUCAUGGCUGGAGGAGGCACCUUAAAAAAACACAGAAAGAGGUAGUUGGCCGCAGUCUAAGCUGACAGUGAGUUUCUUUCCAAGUGGUGGUGUUUCUUGAUAUUCCUGCUCCUGGUCCUUGAACAGGAGGCAGCUGUGGGACAGAAAAACAAGCCCUGGGCUCAGAAUUGGAAGUGUGUCUUCACCAGGUUUCUGCCCCUAACCCACCGCGUGACCUUGGGCUUCUCCUGAAGGUGCAGAUCAUAGGCCUGUGCUGGGAAGGCAGGUCUCAGGUAUGCUGUCAUUAGAUCUGAGGAACCCAGGUUGGUGGACACGUGGGCUUUGGAGUCAGAUGGACCCGGGUUUGAAUCCUGGCUCUGCCACUUGCAUGCAGUGUGAUGUAAUCCAUCUAAGGCUUGGUUUCUUCAUCUAUAAAAUGGGGCUGGCGGUAUGUACCUCAGAUAUCAUUUACAUAUGGGCAAAUCAAGUCUUAUAGAGGUCUUCUGAUUUACCAAGGGCACACAGAUACUUAACAAUGAGGGCAGGCUCACAUCCAGAUCUUCUGACCAUAGGUCCUGAGCUUUUCCCACUGAGCUGCAAGGAUGUGGUGGGGCUAGGUAUAAGGAUAAGUAUAUUGUCUUUAGUUUGUGAAAGUUUCACUAGCAAAAGUUAUAGUACGAUUGGACUAACGAUAAUACCAAUAUUAGGAGGAUUAUUGUGAAUGAUUAAAUGGGAUAAUGCAAAUAUAGAGCUCAUAGUUAAGUGCUCUUAGAUUUCGAGCUUGAAAUUUAUGGAGGCUUGCUUUAUGGCCCAGCCUAUGUCCUACCUUUGUGAAUGUACUAUGUGCACUUGAAAAGAAUAUAUAUUCUACAGUUGCUGAGCAGCAUGUUCUAUAAAUGUUAGGUCAAGGUGGCUGAUAAAGUGUUUAGCUUCUCUAUGUCUUUACUGAUUUUUCUGCCUAGCUGUUCUAUCAGUUGUUGAGAAACGGAUGUUAAAAUCAAAUAUGAUUAUGAAUUUAUUUCUCCCUUUAAGUGUCAAUGUUUGCUUCAUCUAUUUUGAAGCUUUAUUAGGCUCCUACACAUUUAUGAUUGUUAUGUCUUCUUGAUGUAUUGACUGAUCCAUCAUUAUGAAAUGUCUCCCUUUAACUGCAGCAAUGUUUUUUGUUUUGAAGAUUACUUUAUAUGAUAUUUAUAGAGCCACUCCAGCCUUCUCAUAAUUACUGUUUGUCUGAUAAUGUCUUGUUCAAUCCUUUUACUCUCAGCCUACCUGGGACUUUAAUGUGUAUAUAUACAUAUGCAUUUUAUAGAGACAGCUUAUAGUUGGGUCUUACUUUUUUAAAAUACAUUUUGACAAUCUCUGCCUUUUAAUAGUAGUGUUUAGUUCAUUUACAAUGAACAUAAUUAUCAAUAUGUUUGGA